AAGUAAAAGUCGUAACAAGGUUUCCGUAGGUGAACCUGCGGAAGGAUCAUUGUCGAAACCUUCAAAGUAGACCCGCGAACACGUUCUUAACUCAUUGGGGACUGCGGCUUGCCGGACAAGACGCUUGCGUCGACCGCAAGUCGUUUUCCCCCGCCCGCGAGACGCUUGCGUCAAUCGGGAUAACGAACCCCGGCGCAGAACGCGCCAAGGAAAACUGAAUGAAGAGUCACUCCCACUUGAAUGCCCGUUCGCGGAGCCAUCUGGUGGGUUGGGGCAUCUCUCUAUUAUGUCAAAACGACUCUCGGCAACGGAUAUCUCGGCUCUCGCAUCGAUGAAGAACGUAGCAAAAUGCGAUACUUGGUGUGAAUUGCAGAAUCCCGUGAAUCAUCGAGUCUUUGAACGCAAGUUGCGCCCGAAGCCUUCUGGCCGAGGGCACGCCUGCGUGGGCGUCACGCAUCGCGUCGCCCCCCUCACAAUCCCUUGGGACGUGGAUGGGGGCGGAGAUUGGCACCCCGUGCGUGUCUUCGCGCGGCCUGCCCAAAUGAGAUGUCGCAUCCGCGGAUGUCACGACUAUUGUUGGUUGAACCCUCAGCUCUCGAUGUCGUGCCGGAACCCGUUGGUUGCUCUUGCAUCUUUUGACCCAAUGGCGCAAAUUGUGCCUACGACCGCGACCCCACGUCAGGCGGGACUACCCGCUGAGUUUAA
rnacentral:rRNA from 1 species